GUCCCUGUAGCGCAAUGGAUAGCGCAUUGGACUUCUAAUCCAAAAGUCAUGGGUUCGAAUCCCACCUGGGAUG
rnacentral:tRNA from 1 species